UUACCGAGUUAGGGUCUCACCGGCCCGAUCUCCCAACCCUUUGUCUACUUGACCAUCGUUGCUUCGGCGAGCCCGUCCUCACGGACCGCCGGGGGGUCUUUGUACCCCUUGGCCCGCGCUCGUCGACAGCCCCCAAAUUUAAAAAUCUUAACUAAACGUGUCUUGAAUCUAAGUAUUAUUGUUAAAUAAAAACAAAACUUUCAACAACGGAUCUCUUGGUUCUGGCAUCGAUGAAGAACGCAGCGAAAUGCGAUAAGUAAUGCGAAUUGCAGAAUUCCAGUGAGUCAUCGAAUCUUUGAACGCACAUUGCGCCCUUUGGUAUUCCGAAGGGCAUGCCUGUUCGAGCGUCAUUAUCACCCCUCAAGCCCUCGGCUUGGUGUUGGACGGUUUGGUGGAGACCCCCUUUGCGGGCUUCUACCCCUCCCAAAGACAAUGACGGCGGCCUCGUUGGACCCCCGGUACACUGAGUUCUUCACGGGACACGUAUCGGACACAUGGGUUCACGGGACACGGUCUGCCUCCCCUCAGGGAGAAUCUUUUUUAUCAAGGUUGACCUCGGAUCAGGUAGGGAUACCCGCUGAACUUAAGCAUAUCAAUAAGCGGAGGAAAAGAAACCAACAGGGAUUGCCUCAGUAACGGCGAGUGAAGCGGCAACAGCUCAAAUUUGAAAUCUGGCCUCUUUGGGGUCCGAGUUGUAAUUUGUAGAGGAUGUUUCGGGUACCGCCUCGGGUUUAAAUUUCU
rnacentral:rRNA from 1 species